rnacentral:lncRNA from 1 species
UUUCUUUGUUUUUUUUUGUUUUUUUGUUUUUUUUUCUUUUGAUAAUGCCCCAGUUGGCUGUUCUGCUGAUUCUCGAGAUGCAGCUGAGUGAUCUUCUUUUCUUGCUCAAGAAGUCGGGAAAUACCGUCAGGAAUCCCCUCAACAUCAUCUUCUUCCGCUUCGAAUACAGGGAAUUCAAAAUUGGGAGAUGACGUCUGAUCAUUAUGUUCAAUGGGUUUGAGAAACAAC